UACAGACGCGUCUCCUGGCCUCCUUUUUGGAUAAGUGCUUGUAACUUUGCUCCCUGUGAUUCUUUGUAUGCCUACUCACUUCCAUCUCCUCUGUUUUCUCUGCAGUGUCUCCAGCCCACACAACAGCCAGCCAGUUAGCUGGCUGUUUUGCUAUCUGCCUCUGUGUCUGCUUCUGGGUCCUCAAAAUACACCACACGCCACAGAAUACUCAGGCCAGGAUAAUGGACCCAGCAGACCCAGACAGGUUCAGGCAAGCCGUCCACAAGCUAGGGACUCGCCUCGGUCACCAUGAGGAUAUGCUCCAGGGCCUCAAUCAGUCCUUCCAAUGUCUCUCAGUCCAAGUAGCGCAACUGGCGGAGCAACUCCUCUCUCGGCUUCCACCGCAGCAAUCUGGGUCUCCCCCCUCUGUGAGUACGGUUCCCUCUCCACCUUCUUCACCCUCACCUAACGUUAAAGAGCCCUAUGUCCCUCCUCCUGAGCCGUAUGCUGGGGAGAUUGGGGGCUGCAGAGGUUCCCUGCGCUGCUGUGAGUUAGUGUUUGAUCAACAGCCAAUUAGUUAACCCUCGGAUCAGUCCAAGAUAGCCUACACCGUGAACCUGUUGAGAGGCAAAGCGGCUAAGUGGGCUACUACCAUUUGGGAUAAGGGUUCGCCGAUGUUGUCCUCAUAUGCCAGAUUCACUGAGGAACUUCGAAAAGUGUUUGAUUAUCCUGUCGAGGGUCCCGAGUGUACGAAACGGUUGUUUUCCCUCACCCAGGGCUCUCGGUCAGUGGCAGAAUUUUCUAUUGAGUUCCGCACAGUGGCGGCCGAGAGUGGGUGGGGGGAACUAGAAUUAAAGGGUUUAUUCUCUCGUGGUCUGUCUGAACAGCUUAAAGAUGAGCUAGCAGCUCAUGAUGAACCCUCCUCACUUGAGGAGCUAAUCGCUCUAGCCAUUAGGUUAGACAAUCGCCUCAGGGAGAGACGGAGGGAGAAGAAAUUAAAUUCCCCUACUUGUAGCGUAGACUCCCCAUCCUCUUUCGCGGUCAGUGGGUCUCCUCUGCAGCCCUCAGUUUCUCUGGCUCCGGCGCUCUCUGCCGGAGAACCCAUGCAAAUCAGCCACACCUCCUUUACCUCCCGCUCUCCCAGGCGUAUCUCCGUACCUGCUUGCCUCCUGUGGGGAAAAGAAUCUACAUCUCUCCAAACUCUGAUUGACUCCAAGGCAGACAACUUCAUUCACGGAAUGGCAGCACGGCUUCAGCUCCCCCUGGAGGAACUCCCGGUUCCCCGUAAGGUCACUGCUCUCGAUGGCAGGGUUAUAGCCACCAUAACCCACUGCGCUACUCCUCUCACCCUCAUCCUCUCGGGGAAACCAUCGUGAGAACAUCCAGUUGUUCCUGCUUCCCUCUCUGCACUCACCCCUUGUGCUUGGACUCCCGUGGCUGCAGAUCCACAACCCCCAAAUUAACUGGUCCACAGCUUUGACCUCCACCUGGAGUCCUCACUGCCACUCUCAUUGCCUCCGCUCCGCCAAUCCCUACAUCCACCGACAGAGGUCAGCAUCACCACCGCCAUCUCUCGCCUGUGUUCCCCCCAUUUACCAUGAUCUGGCCAUGGUUUUCAGUAAGGAGCAGUCUCUCGUCCUUCCUCCUCCUCAUCGCCCAUAUGACUGCGCCAUAGAUUUGCUCCCUGGCACCCCUUUCCCCAGCAGCAGACUGUACAAUCUCUCUCAGCCCGAACGAGAGGCCAUGGAGGAGUACAUCCAGGACUCCUUGACAUCUGGACUCAUCCGACCCAUCCUCUCUCCUUGCUGCUGGUUUUUUCUUUGUGAAGUAAAAAGAUUCCUCUCUCCGUCCCUUCAUCGACUUCCGCAGAUUCAAUGAGAUCACCAUUAAAAACGAAUAUCCCCUGCCACUCAUCGAUCCCUCCUUCGAACCUCUCUGCAAGGCCACCAUCUUCUCCAAGCUGGACCUCCGGAAUGCCUAUCACCUGGUUAUUAGGGAGAGUAACAAGUGGAAGACGGCCUUCAAUACAAUCAUGGGCCAUUUUGAGUACCUCGUCAUGCCCUUUGGCCUCACCAAUGCCCCCGCUGUGUUCCAGGCUCUCAUUAAUGACGUCCUCCGUGACAGGAUCAACCAAUUUGCCUUCGUCUAUCUGGACGAUAUCCUGAUCUUCUCCUGCAACCUGGAGGAACAUCAACAGCAUGUUCGACUCAUCCUCCAGCGCCUCCUUGAGAACCGCCUCUCCGUCAAACCCGAGAAGUGCGAGUUCCACGCCUCCUCUGUUAGCUUUUUAGGAUAUAUCAUUGCUCAGGGGGAGCAACGCCCAGACCUGGAGAAAGUCUGCGCCGUCUGUGACUGGCCCACUCCCUCCUCCCGCAAAGACCUCCAGCAAUUCCUCGGCUUCGCAAACUUUUACCAGAGAUUCAUCCGGAACUACAGCAAGGUGGCUGUGCCUCUCAUCUGUCUCAAAUCCCUCAAAGUCCCGUUCUCCUGGACCCCUAAAGCUGACGCCACCUUCUGUCAGCUCAAGUCUCUAUUCAUCUCCACCCCGGUGCUCAAACAACCGGAUCCCUCUCUCCAAUUCGUGGUGGAGGUCGACGUUUCGGACUCUGGAGUGGGAGUGGGGGCGGACACUGGCUGGAAGGAGCACAACAACCCUUCCUCAUCUGGACUGACCACAAGAACCUGCAAUAUCUCUGUUCUGCCCGACACCUUAACUCCAGGCAAGCCUGCUGGUCCCUCUUCCUCAGCAGAUUCUGUUUCACCCUCUCCUAUCAUCCCGGCUCCCGCAACCUCAAACCUGAUGCCCUAUCUUGGAUCCACUCCUCGGCUACCUCUGACCCUAGAGAACCGGACACCAUCCUCCCUGCCUCCUGUGUCAUCGGCUCCGCCUCCUGGGAGAUCGACACCAUUGUGGACAAGGCCCUCCGGAAGCACCCAGACCCUGGAACCGGCCCUCCUGACAGAAAGUUCGUCCCUGAGAUUGCACGUUCCCAGGUCCUACAGUGAGGGCACUCUUCUAAACUCACCUGCCACCCCGGAUUUCAGUGCACCCUCCAAUUCCUUCAGCAGCGGUUCUGGUGGCCGGGGGUGGUCUGGGACGUAUGGGCGUUUGUUGCUGCCUUCUCUGUCUGUGCCCAAGGUAAAGCCUCCCACCAACCUCCGGCUGGCUUGCUGCGUCCUCUGCCUGUGCCCUCACGCCCCUGGCCUCAAAUAGCCCUAGAUUUCGUCACUGGUCUCCCCCCUUCUGAAGGUAACACAAUCAUACUCACCAUCAUUGACAGAUUUUCCAAAUUCAUACAUUAUGUCCCGUUACCCAAGCUCCCGUCUGCCCUAGAAACUGCUAACCUCCUAGUGUCUCAUGUGUUCCAACUACAUGGUAUCCCCAUCAACAUAGUUUCAGAUCGAGGUCCCCAGUUCUCCUCCCAGGUCUGGAAAGCUUUCAGUCAGGCAGUAGGCGCAGCAGCCAGUCUCUCCUCUGGCUACCACCCACAGACCAACGGCCAGAGGGAGCGGGCCAAUCAAAACCUCGAGUCAGCUUUGCGGUGUGUGGCG
rnacentral:lncRNA from 1 species